AACGAACGCUGGCGGCAUGCCUAACACAUGCAAGUCGAACGCUCACCUUCGGGUGGGAGUGGCGCACGGGUGCGUAACGCGUGGGAAUCUGCCCUCGGGUUCGGGAUAACAGUUGGAAACGACUGCUAAUACCGGAUGAUGACUUCGGUCCAAAGAGUUAUCGCCCAGGGAUGAGCCAGCGUAGGAUUAGCUUGUUGGUGAGGUAAGAGCUCACCAAGGCGACGAUCCUUAGCUGGUCUGAGAGGAUGAUCAGCCACACUGGGACUGAGACACGGCCAAGACUCCUAAGGGAGGCAGCAGUGGGGAAUAUUGGACAAUGGGCGAAGGCCUGAUCCAGCAAUGCCGCGUGAGUGAUGAAGGCCUUAGGGUUGUAAAGCUCUUUUACCCGGGAUGGUAAUGACAGUACCGGGAGAAUAAGCCCCGGCUAACUCCGUGCCAGCAGCCGCCGUAACAC
rnacentral:rRNA from 1 species